rnacentral:rRNA from 1 species
GGCUCAGAAUCAACGCGGGCGGCGCGCUUAACACAUGCAAGUCGAACGAGAAAGCGGGGGCAACCUCGUGAGUAAAGUGGCGUACGGGUGAGUAACACGUGGGUAAUCUACCUCUUGGUGGGGAAUAACGCUGGGAAACCGGCGCUAAUACCGCAUAAGCUCGGGAGAGGAAAGCAGCAAUGCGCCGGGAGAGGAACCCGCGGCCGAUUAGCUAGUUGGUGAGGUAACGGCCCACCAAGGCAAAGAUCGGUAGCCGGCCUGAGAGGGCACACGGCCACACUGGCACUGAAACACGGGCCAGACUCCUACGGGAGGCAGCAGUGGGGAAUCUUGCACAAUGGGGGAAACCCUGAUGCAGCGACGCCGCGUGAGCGAUGAAGCCCUUCGGGGUGUAAAGCUCUUUCGGCAGGGAAGAAAAAUGACGGUACCUGCAGAAGCAGCUGCGGCUAACUACGUGCCAGCAGCCGCGGUAAUACGUAGGCAGCGAGCGUUGUUCGGAGUUACUGGGCGUAAAGGGUGUGUAGGCGGUCCUCUAAGUUUGGUGUGAAAUCUCCCGGCUCAACCGGGAGGGUGCGCCGAAAACUGGGGGACUAGAGUGCGGGAUGGGAGAGUGGAAUUCCUGGUGUAGCGGUGAAAUGCGUAGAUAUCAGGAGGAACACCGGUGGUGUAGACGGCUCUCUGGACCGUAACUGACGCUGAGACACGAAAGCGUGGGUAGCAAACAGGAUUAGAUACCCUGGUAGUCCACGCCCUAAACGAUGCAUAUUUGGUGUAGGUCAUUCAGUUGAUCUGUGCCGGAGCUAACGCGUUAAAUAUGCCGCCUGGGGAGUACAGUCGCAAGGCUGAAACUC